GCGCGGCUGCCGUCACGCCCGGUUCCGCCGCGGGAGGGCGGGCCCUGCCGGCGCCAUCUUGGGGCGCGCCCGCCCCCGCCCCGGCCCGGCCCGGCCCGGCGGGGAGGGAGCGGGAGGGAGGCCGCGGGUCCGCCGCCCGGCGUGCUUCCCCUGCCCCGGGUUUCCCGAGUUCUGCCUUUUUGUGGUGUUUUUAAAGCUGUAUUAACUUUGGGGUGGGGGUGGAGGUUGCACGUUAUGGAGGAGGCCUGAACUGCGCUCCUGUGUCAAGCGCCUGGCUCUCCCGGCUCUCCCCUGGGAGGCAGAGGGCAAGGGCGGCUGCGCUUCGGUGGAGGAGAGGAGAGGAGAGGAGAGGAGAGGAGAGGAGAGGAGAGGCUUCUUUCCCGGGGGUGCUCUGGGGUGGCUCCCGCGUCAGGGAUUUGUGUCAGGUCGCUGGGUCUUCAGCUCUAAGAAAAAAUUUAAAAAUCCAGGAAGCGUAAAUAAUGGAGUGAGAUAAAUCCCUAGGGAUUCAUGUACACUGGUGGACAUCCACGCUGUUCUGUUCUGUCAAUGGUCAGCAGUGCUCAUGCAAGAUGUGUUCGGGGUUUUUCUGAGUUUCUAGCUAAACUGUUGUGUAAAACAUAAAUUGUGACAAAUGUAAAAUAAAAUUUGAUCUUCCUGUCUCAGGAGGACUUUGA